GACGAACGCUGGCGGCGUGCUUAACACAUGCAAGUCGAACGGAAAGGCCCUGCUUUUGUGGGGUGCUCGAGUGGCGAACGGGUGAGUAACACGUGAGUAACCUGCCCUUGACUUUGGGAUAACUUCAGGAAACUGGGGCUAAUACCGGAUAGGAGCUCCUGCUGCAUGGUGGGGGUUGGAAAGUUUCGGCGGUUGGGGAUGGACUCGCGGCUUAUCAGCUUGUUGGUGGGGUAGUGGCUUACCAAGGCUUUGACGGGUAGCCGGCCUGAGAGGGUGACCGGCAAAAUUGGGACUGAGAUACGGCCCAGAAUCCUACGGGAGGCAGCAGUGGGGAAUAUUGCACAAUGGGCGGAAGCCUGAUGCAGCAACGCCGCGUGCGGGAUGACGGCCUUCGGGUUGUAAACCGCUUUCGCCUGUGACGAAGCGUGAGUGACGGUAAUGGGUAAAGAAGCACCGGCUAACUACGUG
rnacentral:rRNA from 1 species